GCCGCGGUGGCGGAACCGGCAGACGCGAGGGCCUUAAGAGCCCUUGUCCGCAAGGAUGUGAGAGUUCGAGUCUCUCCCGCGGCA
rnacentral:tRNA from 1 species